AUCAAAACAUUAUAAUUUAUUUCUAAAGCUUUAGUUCAUUGAGGAAUAUAAUUUCAUGCCUAAUUUCAUUUGCAUCAUAUGCUUAAUCUUUUGUGAAUCCUUUAGCAGUUUCAGCAGUUUAGAUAUCAAACUUUCCUUAGCCCUGGGACUUGCCAAAAUUGAUGGAUGUGUGUGGUCAGCAGCAAAGUGUCCACUGUUUAAUGAAGCACUGAGUAACUUAAUGUUUCUGAUUCCUGGUGCAGAAGAGGUUGUGAUAAAAAGAAGAAAGAGAUAAUCCCUAGGACAUGCAGUAAUCAUGGCUUUAUUCUAAUGUAUUUUUAUUUAUUCUUUUAGAUAUCUCUAAACAAAAGGACAACUCCUGUAUUUUUUUCAGGGAAAAGAUUAUGGCAGAAUUAUUCCUUCCCAGGAGGCAGAGAAAGGAUUUGGUUCCAUUUCACGUGGAAGGGAAGGGGUGGAAAGAGGAAUAUAUUAAUGCUGGCCAGAGAGGUCCCAGAGUCACUUGGCAGAGGGGGAUGAACCACAGGGACCUUCUUGGGGCUGUGCCAACAACUGAGCGUUAUUCAGGAGUUCUCCUUCUCACACAGCCCAGUGUGCAGCCUGUGCACUGAGCAUUCGGGGUCCGGCCACCGCAAAGAAGGCCACGGAGUGUUCAGCACAGGAUGACAUCUGCAGGGCCUCAGCUGCGUGUGUGAGUGUGCUCGGGGGACAGGAACAGCUCCGAAAAAACCCAAACCCUCCUUAUCUCACCCGUGCGCAGGCUCCGAGCGGCCGGCGGCGCUCCCGGGCCGGCGCUUUCCGGGGGAGGUGGCGCUGGGAAACCAAACCAAUAAACGCUGCUGCGGGAAACUGCUGAGUCAAGACUGGGGAAAUCACGUGAAAAGCCAAAAAAAGAAACCUUGGUGGGGAGGUGAAGGGAUCAGAGAGCAGGUUGCAGCAGAGAGCUGCGAAAUUUCCUGUAAAACCGCUCGUGUCGCGACGCAGCUGGAAAAACAUUCCCGGUGCGGGCUUGGGGGGCGGCACCGGCGAUGGGCACGGGCUGCGACACAAACCCGGCUCGGUUCAGCGUGGGCUGGAGCUCAGCGGGGCGAGCAGGGCAGGAGCUGGGCCUUGGCACCGUGCUGGGGCAGCUGCUGCCCCUUUGCUGUCCCACUGGUUUCUCUUGUCUGUCCCACUGCGGCCCCUUCGCUGUCGUGCUGUUGCCCCUCGGCGCUGGGAUGCCCCGCGGUGCUGGAAGCGUUUCCAGCUGCUGCUGGAUGUGAUGUGUGCUGCAGCCCUCGGCAGCUGGGCUAACGUGGCAGCAAAUGAGAUUGAUGCAUUCUUUAAUUCCAGGUAUUACAAGAUACCCUUUGCACAAUGUUCAAUACCUCUCAACCACUCUGCUCUUUUCUAGAGAUGCCCCUGCUCUGCAGCACCUUCAGCAAGACCACAGCAUUUACAACCUGCUGAGAUAUUCCCCAAGUCACAUCCUCAGAAUAUAAGAACUAGUCAAAAAUUUUCUAUUCCUGUAACUACCUAAAGUGACCUUUUUUGUUCUAAUAAGGACAUUCCUAAAUGGAGAAGACAGAAGAAGAAAAUCUGAGGAGGAAGAUGACACAUGCAUAUUCAUGCUACCAACAGGUGAAACUGGCCCAGAGUUUAUACUCUAUUAAAAUUGACUUUUACACACCUGAAAGUAAAAAACAAAUUUUAAAGCUUGAUGAUUUCCUUAGAAAUAACUAACAGAGAGAAGUAAUUAUUUUGCUCUUCCAAGCAUUUCCCUACAAUAUUGGCAAUAUCCCAGCAUUAGCUGCCUGAUCUGGAUCUAGAAAGAACUGGCUAUGGACUUGCCUAUUUUUAUUAGCAACUCCUGACUAUGCUGCUCAACAGGCAACACCGAGGUUAUGGAUUUUAAGAAGCUAUUUAAGUGGUAAAGGAUGCUACUGCUAUCACACUAAGACAAAAAUCUUAAGAUCAUUAUUCAGUUUAGAAUCUGAGAGUAAAUAAAAAGCAAGGCUGCCAGAAAACCAAGACACCCUUUUUAAACUAGAUUCAAAUACCAAUUCAUAAGCAGUGAUGAUCACAGCACCAUGCAAUCCAUGACAUUUAACAGGUAUUUUAAAGGUGAGAAGUUAACUUCCCUUAAAGACAACAAUGCACAAGCAACUGAAGAGCAGCCUAUAAUGCAUCACAGGUUUGUAUUUUAAAAUAAUCAGUCAAAUUAAAUGAUGAUGCUUUGAUGGGCAGAGAACAUUUUUGAGAAUUGGAACCUUAAAGCAAAGAGUUUCACUGUGAUCAUGAAUUCCUGCAAAACAUUACAGUGGGUCCUAAUCCUUACCUAAUGCAGUAUGUCUACAGAACAUUUCUGUCAAUUGUGUAUUUAGAAAUUAAUUUUAAUUUCGGUAAUAUCUUUUACCCCUCCACAACCAAAACAUAUGAGGAGAAAGAAACAAUCCAGGAAAGCAAGGCAGUGGACUACUAUGGAAAACAGCAAGCAGGAAAUGAAAAAAGCCCAUGACAGCCUCAUCUUUAUAGGGAAAAAAAUGGCAGCAUUUUAGCUAAGCUUUCUGCCUACCUAUUUGUAUUUUUAUUUACUAGAAAAUGAAGCAGCAUCACAUCAGAGAAGUUUAAUUUCUCUACCCUGAUCUCUAGUAACACUGCUCAAAAAUCUCAAACACAUGUUUGGAGAGAAUUUAUAAAAUAAUGUAAACUUGUAAAGUAAGAGUAAGCUAAGACAAAGAAAAGAUACUACAAUUAAAAAUUACAGUGAGGACAUUACAAGGAAAAACUCUGCAAAAAUUUGAACUACCUAAUCUAAAGGCAAGCGGGGAAACCAGAAAGGAAAUCCACCAUAAUAGCCCGAUAAUCACCUUAGUUUCAGCAUUUAAAACUAAGCACAGGCAGAUUAUCCUAUAAACGACAACAGGGAUAGAGACAAGGCAUGCAGAUUCAAGGCCAAUGGAAAAAAAAAAUCCACAUUCUGUGCAAAGACUUAUCAUAAACUGGGCUAAAAUAUACACUAAGCUCUGAAUCAGGAUUACUAGAAAAGAGGUAACAAACGUUAAAAGUUUAAACAAAGGCGAUUUACACACUUAGGCAGUAAAACCUUACACCUAACAUGCAAAUUAAGGCCUUCUCAAGAGACAGAGUGAAGGGAGUCUGAAAAAUAAUUCCAAGCAGCAAAGUGUAGCCCAGGAUGUGUACAUGACCAGGCAAGCACACAUCAGAAAUCACGAUCCCCCUUUACAUAAGUAUAGAAAUGUUCACCACAGAAAAGCAAUUCCCACAAAACCUGGGGCUAUUUGAAAGGAACCGGUUUUCAGGCUGAAAACAAAACACAAAGUCGAGUGUCAGAUCCCCACAGGUUGUGACAAAUU